AUUGACCGCUGGCGGCAGGCCUAACACAUGUAAGUCGAGCGGAGCGGCGGACGGGUGAGUAAUGCCUAGGAAUCUGCCUGGCAGUGGGGGAUAACGUCCGGAAACGGGCGCUAAUACCGCCUAAUAUCAGAUGAGCCUAGGUCUGAUUAGCUAGUUUGUGGGUUAAAGGUCUACCAUGGCGACGAUCCUUAACUGGUAUGAGAGGAUGAUCAGUCACACUGGAACUGAGACACGGUCCAGACUCCUACGGGAGGCAGCAGUGGGGAAUAUUGGACAAUGGGCGAAAGCCUGAUCCAGCCAUGCCGCGUGUGUGAAGAAGGUCUUCGGAUUGUAAAGCACUUUAAGUUGGGAGGCGUUACCAACAGAAUAAGCACCGGCUAACUUCGUGCCAGCAGCCGCGGUAAUUC
rnacentral:rRNA from 1 species